CCUACGGGUGGCAGCAGUGAGGAAUAUUGGUCAAUGGCCGGAAGGCUGAACCAGCCAAGUCGCGUGAGGGAAUAAGGCCCUAUGGGUCGUAAACCUCUUUUGUAUGGGAGUAAAGGCGUCCACGUGUGGACGAGUGGAGAGUACCUGAAGAAAAAGCAUCGGCUAAUUCCGUGCCAGCAGCGGCGGUAUUACGGAGGAUGCGAGGGUUACCCGGAUUUAUUGGGUUAAAGGGGUGCGUAGGCGGAGUGUCAAGUCAGCGGUAAAAUUUCGGGGCUAAACCCCGUCGUGCCGUUGAAACUGACAGUCUUGAGUAGACGAGAGGUAGGCGGAAUGCGUGGUGUAGCGGUGAAAUGCAUAGAUAUCACGCAGAACUCCGAUUGCGAAGGCAGCAUACCGGCGCCCGACUGACGCUGAGGCACGAAAGCGUGGGUAUCGAACAGGAUUAGAUACCCCUGUAGUC
rnacentral:rRNA from 1 species